GGCUUACAGAUGAGGCGGGCUGGAUCUCUCGGGGUUACAGCCUUGCUGAAUUAUUCACCCUUGUCUUUUGCGUACUUCUUGUUUCCUUGGUGGGUUCGCCCACCACUAGGACAAACAUAAACCUUUUGUAAUUGCAAUCAGCGUCAGUAACAAAUUAAUAAUUACAACUUUCAACAACGGAUCUCUUGGUUCUGGCAUCGAUGAAGAACGCAGCGAAAUGCGAUAAGUAGUGUGAAUUGCAGAAUUCAGUGAAUCAUCGAAUCUUUGAACGCACAUUGCGCCCUUUGGUAUUCCAAAGGGCAUGCCUGUUCGAGCGUCAUUUGUACCCUCAAGCUUUGCUUGGUGUUGGGCGUCUUGUCUCUAGCUUUGCUGGAGACUCGCCUUAAAGUAAUUGGCAGCCGGCCUACUGGUUUCGGAGCGCAGCACAAGUCGCACUCUCUAUCAGCAAAGGUCUAGCAUCCAUUAAGCCUUUUUUCAACUUUUGACCUCGGAUCAGGUAGGGAUACCCGCUGAACUUAAGCAUAUCAAAGGGGAAGAAAUAUUACCCAAUAUGAAGGCGGCUGGAUCUCUCGGGGUUACAGCCUUGCUGAAUUAUCACCUUGUCUUUGCGUCUCUGUUCCCUGGGGGUCCCCCACCACUAAGAAAAAAAUAAACUUUUUGUAUUGCAACGCGCGAACAAAUAAUAAUUCAUAUUUCAACAAGG
rnacentral:rRNA from 1 species